rnacentral:rRNA from 1 species
CAGCAUGGUCCACCUCUUCCCAUUCCGAACAGAGAAGUUAAGCCUGCUUGCGCUGAUGGUACUGCCUGUUUCGCGGGUGGGAGAGUAAGACGACGCCACUU